CAUGAACUCAACGAGAUACUGCAAGAGAUAAAAUAAUGAGAUGCUACGUCAUAGGAUCUGUCUCUGAGUCCACAUUGUGGGAGAAAAGACCAUUCUUCGGAAAGAUGCAGAGGAAGCCCCGUACCUCAAGGGAUUGAGAUGGGAGACUGAGGGAAUCCUGGGGUCUCUGCCCUCUCCCUCACUGGGAAACAAGCUCUGUUUCUUCAUGUGCUGGAGCCCUGCCUCUGUGGGUGCAGCCUGAGGACAAAGGCAGUGCUGCAUCCCCUGAUCCCCUGCCCCCUACAACCUCCUGCCCAGCCUCUUGGGUGCUCCUCAGCUUGUCGUCAGGGAGGAAGCAGCCAUCUCCUCCGAUGACUGACUUCAAGCCUCAACUCUCCCACAGCUUCUCAAAAGCCAAGGCUGAGGCCAAGUCCUAGCUGCUGCCUUGGGACAGGUCAAGGGCCUCCUGCAAUCUCAUGCACAAACUGGUACCCAUGAGCAUGUGGCCUAAGAGAUUUAUUGACCCCUCUCCAAGUCCUUGCCAGAGGAAUCCUGCACACCUAUAUCCACAAUGAAGGGAGCCAUAUCCCCAGCUGGGUAGCCAUAUCCCUAAUGAUAUCACUUAUGAAAGGUGACAAGUCCUUUCUACCACUCUUAUUUAAGUGAAAAUAUAUUUAGUCAAUUAUGGUCUUUCUCUUGUGUCUACUGAAAGCAUGGUAAGAGUCUGUUUUAACUGAGAAUAUUUUUUAUCUCCUCAUUCUACUCCCAAAUGAGUUUUUCAGGGUCCCGUGGUCUUGAUGGUCUUUCAACUAUAGCUGCCUAUAAACCCUGUACAUAGGGGACACUAUGACCCUUGGAUCUUUUUCUAUAAUGUCCAUGUUCCAGUGAGCCAUAGAGCCAGAUCCACUUGAAUUCAAUUUCCAAAAACAAACCUGCUGGGAUUUUGAUUGGAAUUGUAUUGAAUCUAUGCAUUCGUUUUGAGAACUGACAUCAUUAUAAUAUGAGCCUUCCCAUUUGUGAACAUGGUAUAACCCUACAUUUAUUUAGGUCUUUAAGUUCCCUCAAUAAUGCUUUGUAGUUCAGUGUAGAGGUCUUGCACAUUUUUCAUUUGAUUUAUUCCUAGGCAUUUGAUGGGCUUUGCUGCUAUUGUAAAUUGUAUUUUUAGAAGGGAUUUUCAUAAGCACUAGUGAUUGGUAGUGUAGGAAGGAGAACCCCAGCAAUACCUGCCCUUCAUCUUUAAAGAAAUCCAAGCUUAUGGAGAUAUAAUUCAUAUUCCAUACAAUUCACCCAUUUAAAGUAUACACUUCAAUGGUUUUUAGAAUAUUUGUAGGUAUGUGUAACCAUCACCACUGUCAAUUUUAAAACAUUUUCAUCACCUUAAAAAGUAACCUCAUGCCCUUUAGCUAUUACCCACCUAUUGCAUCUGUUACAGUCUGAAUACGUCUCCCCUCUAAAUUCAUAUGUUGAAAUCCUAACCCUCAAGGUGAUGGCAUUAGGAGGUGGGGCCUUUUAGGAGGCGAUUAGGUCAUGAUAGCAGAGUUCUUGUGAAUGGGAUUAGUGCCCUUAUAAAAAAGGCCCAGAGAGUUACUUUACCUCUUCUAGCAAGUGAGGACACAGUGAGAAGUCUCCACCUGGAGAAAGUGGGCCCUCACCAGACACCAAAUCUGCUGCUGCCUUCAUGCUGGACUUCCCAGCCUCCAGAACUAUGAGAAAUAAAUUCCUG
rnacentral:lncRNA from 10 species